rnacentral:rRNA from 1 species
UACGAAGGGGGCUAGCGUUGUUCGGAAUUACUGGGCGUAAAGGGCGCGCAGGCGGCUCUUCAAGUCAGAUGUGAAAGCCCCGGGCUCAACCUGGGAACUGCAUUUGAGACUAGAGAGCUUGAGUUCGGGAGAGGAUGGUGGAAUUCCCAGUGUAGAGGUGAAAUUCGUAGAUAUUGGGAAGAACACCGGUGGCGAAGGCGGCCAUCUGGACCGAUACUGACGCUGAGGCGCGAAAGCGUGGGGAGCAAACAGGG